UCACCAUCAUCACGUGCAUCAUCGAGAUCAUCAUCACCAUCAUCUUCAUCACCAACACCAUCUCCAUCUUCACCCCAUCUCACUUUACCAUUGCAAUCGUAGUUGUACCUUGCACUAUUAAUCUCCCUUACUCUACCGGUGUUGAUUACUCUUUUGUGGUGAAUGCUAUUGAGUAUUGUUGGAGAAUUAUUGUUAUGACCAGACCGUUCAUCAUAUUUUCAUCACCUCUGAUCAUGAUCUCUUUUAUGUCUUGUGAGUAGUUACUGUAGUUCUUGAGGACAUGAGAGAAGUCUAG
rnacentral:lncRNA from 1 species